rnacentral:rRNA from 1 species
CCUACGGGGGGCAGCAGUGAGGAAUAUUGGUCAAUGGCCGAGAGGCUGAACCAGCCAAGUCGCGUGAGGGAAGACGGCCCUACGGGUUGUAAACCUCUUUUGUCGGGGAGCAAAGCGAGUCACGUGUGACUCAUUGAGAGUACCCGACGAAAAAGCAUCGGCUAACUCCGUGCCAGCAGCCGCGGUAAUACGGAGGAUGCGAGCGUUAUCCGGAUUUAUUGGGUUUAAAGGGUGCGCAGGCGGAGGUGCAAGUCAGCGGUCAAAUUGCGGGGCUCAACCCCGUACUGCCGUUGAAACUGCAGCCCUUGAGUGCGCGAGAAGUAUGCGGAAUGCGUGGUGUAGCGGUGAAAUGCAUAGAUAUCACGCAGAACUCCGAUUGCGAAGGCAGCAUACCGGCGCGCAACUGACGCUCAUGCACGAAAGCGUGGGUAUCGAACAGGAUUAGAUACCCCUGUAGUC